UGCUUUGUGGCCGAGUGGUAACUCUCUCGACUUUGAUUUGUUGGAUCGUGGGUUCGAGGCCCACCAGGGCCU